rnacentral:rRNA from 1 species
AGUGAACGCUGGCGGUAGGCCUAACGCAUGCAAGUCGAACGGCAGUACAGGAGAGCUUGCUCUCUGGGUGGCGAGUGGCGGACGGGUGAGGAAUACAUCGGAAUCUACUUUUUCGUGGGGGAUAACGUAGGGAAACUUACGCUAAUACCGCAUACGACCUACGGGUGAAAGCAGGGGACCUUCGGGCCUUGCGCGAUUGAAUGAGCCGAUGUCGGAUUAGCUAGUUGGCGGGGUAAAGGCCCACCAAGGCGACGAUCCGUAGCUGGUCUGAGAGGAUGAUCAGCCACACUGGAACUGAGACACGGUCCAGACUCCUACGGGAGGCAACAGUGGGGAAUAUUGGACAAUGGGCGCAAGCCUGAUCCAGCCAUACCGCGUGGGUGAAGAAGGCCUUCGGGUUGUAAAGCCCUUUUGUUGGGAAAGAAAUCCAGCUGGCUAAUACCCGGUUGGGAUGACGGUACCCAAAGAAUAAGCACCGGCUAACUUCGUGCCAGCCGCCGCCGUAA